rnacentral:rRNA from 1 species
CCUACGGGGUGCAGCAGUGAGGAAUAUUGGUCAAUGGGCGCGAGCCUGAACCAGCCAAGUCGCGUGAAGGAUGACUGCCCUACGGGUUGUAAACUUCUUUUAUAAAGGAAUAAAGUGAGGCACGUGUGCCUUUUUGUAUGUACUUUAUGAAUAAGGAUCGGCUAACUCCGUGCCAGCAGCCGCGGUAAUACGGAGGAUCCGAGCGUUAUCCGGAUUUAUUGGGUUUAAAGGGAGCGUAGAUGGGUUGUUAAGUUAGUUGUGAAAGUUUGGGGCUCAACCGUGAAAUUGCAAUUGAUACUGGCAGGCUUGAGUGCAGUUGAGGUAGGCGGAAUUCGUGGUGUAGCGGUGAAAUGCUUAGAUAUCACGAAGAACACCGAUUGCGAAGGCAGCUUACUAAACUGCCACUGACAUUGAUGCACGAAAGUGUGGGUAUCAAACAGGAUUAGAUACCCGUGUAGUC